UUAUUUUAUGAUUUGAUAUCCCGAAGUUGCAGCAUUUGCCAGAUUGCGGUUCGGUGAAUUUUAUAAAGAAUCAAGCACAACUCCAUUGACAGCAUUUGCCAGAUUGCGGGUCGGUGAAGUUAAUAAAGAAUCAAGCACAACUCCAUUGACCGUCGUUCAUAGACAUGAUUUGAACAGGCUGUUACAAGAGGAAAAUACGGUGAACAAGGAUGUAUCAUGUAAUGUUGGCGAAGAUGGUGGUUUUUCUCCGAACAUAUCCAGGCAAGUGUUUCAUAUAUGAUGCUUGGUAACCUUGUCUUUGAAAAUUCCGUGACCACUCCCCAUCUGCAAAUCACCCUCCAAAAAUAAAUCUCCGAGGAUAUGGAUGACAGGAGAAUGAAAAUAGAUGCACAGCUGAUAGACAACUACUGUAUCUUUUCUCCAGGAUAGCUAUAAUCUGCCGAGUCCGCCCCCUUAAAGAGAGCUAUGUAUAUUCAAAAUUCAUGCGAGGUUCUUGUUUAAUCAUAUCCAUUGGCAGUUCCCAAGAAGGCUUGGAUCUAGUUAAAGAGGCCAUCAACAGAACAAGGUACAACGAGAGAAUAAAGAUGACCACUGAUACAUGGUGUCGUCGCCUAGCGGUGAUAAAGUUAGCAGAGCAUGUUUUCAAGUUCAGAAUCCACUAUGGGAUGCUUACUUUUAGACCCUGUUUAUGAUUCGAUUUGUAGAGCAGUUCCAGAUUUAUUUAUUUUCUUAUUUUUCAUAUCUUUGUUAAUAAUUUUGGAUUUAAAGCUGAUUUUAUUUUCUGGUA